UUCGCCACUGAUUGUCCAAACGCAAUUCUUGUACGAGUCUGCGGCCAACCGAGAAUUGUGGCUGGACAUCUGUGGUUGA
rfam:Heterocephalus glaber contig32402, whole genome shotgun sequence.